rnacentral:tRNA from 1 species
GGGGUUGUGGCUCACUGGUAGAGCGUACGCCUAGCAUGUGUGAAGCCCUGGGUUCAAUCCUCAGCGCCACA